rnacentral:rRNA from 1 species
GAUGAACGCUGGCGGCGUGCCUAAUACAUGCAAGUCGAGCGAACAGACGAGGAGCUUUCUCCCCUGACUUUAUCGGCGGACGGGUGAGUAACACGUGGAUAACCUAACUAUAAGACUGGGAUAAUUUCGGGGAACCGUAGCUACUACCGGAUAAUAUAUUGAACCGCAUGGUUCAAUAGUGAAAGACGGUUUUGCUGUCGCUUAUAGAUUGAUCAGGGCCGCAUUAGUUAGUGGGUAAGGUAACGGCUUAACAAGGCAACGAUGCGUAGCCGACCCGAGCGGGUGAUCGGACACACUGGCACUGAGAAACGGCCCCGACACCUACGGUAGGACGCAGUAGGGAAUCCUCCGCGAGGGGCGAAUGCCGGACGGAGCACCGCCGGGUGAGUGAUGAAGGUCUACGGAUGGUAGAACGCUGUUAUUAGGGAAGAACAAAUGUGUAAGUAACUAUGCACGUCUUGACGGUACCUAAUCAGAAAGCCACGGCUAACUACGUG